rnacentral:rRNA from 1 species
AUUGAACGCUGGCGGCAGGCUUAACACAUGCAAGUCGAGCGGAGAUGAGGUGCUUGCACCUUAUUUAGCGGCGGACCGGGUGAGUAAUGCUUAGGAAUCUGCCUAUUAGUGGGGGACAACAUUCCGAAAGGAAUGCUAAUACCGCAUACGUCCUACGGGAGAAAGCAGGGGAUCUUCGGACCUUGCGCUAGUAGAUGAGCCUAAGUCGGAUUAGUUAGUUGGUGGGGUAAAGGCCUACCAAGGCGACGAUCUGUAGCGGGUUGAGAGGAUGAUCCGCCACACUGGGAUUGAGACACGGCCCAGACUCCUACGGGAGGCAGCAGUGGGGAAUAUUGGACAAUGGGGGGAACCCUGAUCCAGCCAUGCCGCGUGUGUGAAGAAGGCCUUAUGGUUGUAAAGCACUUUAAGCGAGGAGGAGGCUACAUA